GAAAGUAACGCGAAGACGUGAAUAGUUCAAUCGUCAUUCCUCGUAUGUAAACAACUAUUUUCCCAUGAUGCAAUUCCAUUUAAUUAGCCAAUCACAUCAAAGCGGGAAAUUUAUUCAUCAUUUGAUUCAACUUUGACCCACGACCUAUAUGCAGCGAAUGUAAACAACCUGGUCGAUCUCAAAACGCUUCAAUUUUACGGUAGUAUUUUCAUGUUAUGCUGGAGUUAACCGGUAUCCAGUCUCUGAGAACAAGACAUUGAAUGGUGAAGUCAGAACAGAAUGUGUUUUCUACACAAACGGCGACGAAAUCGAUUCAUUUAUCCCAGACCUCGCCGGCAAACAUGGCGGCCAUUACAACCUUCAGAUGCUGAAGGACCUUCAUUAAACCAACAGAAAGAUAUGGACGUCACAGAUGUAUAAUCCCUCCUGAAUUGCCAGAAGAUUGUGACCCUAUCCGCCACCAUCAGAAGCUUAAUGAGGACAGUUACAGUACUUCCUGACUUAAGUUGGGCAUAUAUGUCUCAUAAUAAAGUUUCAUAGACUUUUUAUAUAUAUUUGCCCGAUUAUUUUUGACACAUGCACAUCAUCACAUGUUCAUAUUAAAUUCUUUCUUCUGUACAAAGGUCCCAGAGACAACAAAUGAUUGAACUUCAAUACUCCAUCUAGUUUUGCAAUUUAAACAUUAUGUUUAUUAAGCCCAAAAACCUCUUUUGAUUUAUGAACAGAUGAAGAGGUAUAACUGUAAGGGAUUGUCCCAUUUAUAUUAUUUUAUGAUGUGUUUGUAUAUAUAUAUUUCUAUGAAGCAAAUUUGAAUAAAU